UACGGGGGGAGCAAGCGUUGUUCGGAUUUACUGGGCGUAAAGGGCGCGUAGGCGGCCAGCGCAAGUCAGUUGUGAAAUCUCCGGGCUUAACUCGGAAAGGUCAACUGAUACUGCGCGGCUAGAGUGCAGGAAGGGGCAACUGGAAUUCUCGGUGUAGCGGUGAAAUGCGUAGAUAUCGAGAGGAACACCUGCGGCGAAGGCGACACGCUGGGCCGUACCUGACACUGAUGCGCGACGCAGUGGGG
rnacentral:rRNA from 1 species